CGAUACGUAAUGCGAAUUGCAGGAUUCAGUGAGUCAUCGAAAUUUUGAACGCAUAUUGCACUUCCGGGUUAGUCCUGGAAGUAUGCCUGUAUC